GUGGGGAAUAUUGGACAAUGGGCGAAAGCCUGAUCCAGCAAUGCCGCGUGAGUGAUGAAGGCCCUAGGGUUGUAAAGCUCUUUUACCCGGGAUGAUAAUGACAGUACCGGGAGAAUAAGCUCCGGCUAACUCCGUGCCAGCAGCCGCGGUAAUACGGAGGGAGCUAGCGUUGUUCGGAAUUACUGGGCGUAAAGCGCGCGUAGGCGGUUUUUCAAGUCAGAGGUGAAAGCCCGGGGCUCAACCCCGGAAUUGCCUUUGAAACUGGAAGACUUGAAUCUUGGAGAGGUCAGUGGAAUUCCGAGUGUAGAGGUGAAAUUCGUAGAUAUUCGGAAGAACACCAGUGGCGAAGGCGACUGACUGGACAAGUAUUGACGCUGAGGUGCGAAAGCGUGGGGAGCAAACAGG
rnacentral:rRNA from 1 species